GUGUUCUUUUAAGAAAUUCGCUGGACUAAACCGAUUUAAAAUUGAGAUGACGGUUUUGUUUUUUUUGACCGCUGUAGCGAGAUGGUCGAAAAUUAUCUGUUCCCAACCCAAACCUGACUCACACUGUUAGAUCACUGAAUGUUUGGUGCCACAAAUUUCUAAAGUGACCUGUAGACAAUCACAUUAUUUGUUAAAUUUUUGCUUGACAAACGUGACUGUCAAAUUUUUUGAUAGUGGAGAAGCUUGUUUGACGUGAUUAUCAAACUCGAGAAAUUCGUUGGUACAAACCGGUUUUAAUUGUCUGUACAAUCUCACAUGCAUAUGGUGCAAACUAUUUACAUCGGUUUCAUCCCCUCGAAAUGAUAAAUAAUAAUAACAAAUAAUAUCUAUUUAAAUAAUUGAUUAAUUAAAUCGAUAUAUUUUGGAUAGU